rnacentral:tRNA from 6 species
GCGGGUGUAGUUCAAUGGUAGAACACCAGCCUUCCAAGCUGGUCGUGAGGGUUCGAUUCCCUUCACCCGCUCCA